rnacentral:tRNA from 1 species
GUCCAGGGAUGGGAAUCGAACCCACAAUGUUCCGCUUACCGGGCAGAUGCCAUAUCCACUAGGCUACCCUGGA